UGGGGAAUAUUGCACAAUGGACGGAAGUUUGAUGCAGCGACGCCGCGUGGAGGGUGUAGGCCUUCGGGUUGUGAACUCCUUUUUCUCGCGAAAAAGGCACAGUUUUGGCUGUGUUGAUGGUAGUGGGGGAAGAAGCGCCGGCUAACUACGUGCCAGCAGCCGCGGUAAUACGUAGGGCGCGAGCGUUGUCCGGAUUUAUUGGGCGUAAAGAGCUCGUAGGUGGUUCGUCGCGUCUGUCGUGAAAGCCAGCAGCUUAACUGUUGGUCUGCGGUGGGUACGGGCGGGCUUGAGUGCGGUAGGGGUGACUGGAAUUCCUGGUGUAGCGGUGGAAUGCGCAGAUAUCAGGAGGAACACCGAUGGCGAAGGCAGGUCACUGGGCCGUUACUGACACUGAGGAGCGAGAGCGUGGGGAGCGAACAGG
rnacentral:rRNA from 1 species